ACAGUCCCCAGUCCGCGUAUUAUAGGGGAUACAGCAUAGGGCAUACUAUACAGGAUACAGACAUUUCGACGGAUGAAAUGAUAAAUGAAGGAAAAAAAAUUGUUUUAAUUAUAAAAUGUCUGUAUGUCAAAGAAUAUUUUGCAGACAAAUAGGUAUAUGAUUUUGCUGCUUCUGGUAGAUGGAAAGAUGGCCACAAGUGGAGGAAACCUUGAUUUGGAGAAUUUCUGGGCAUGAAGUCCGCAAAUACCAGUCUGCUGUUUACCCUGUAUGGUCCGCACUUUCAAUCGAUACAUGUACGAAACGGUCCGCAUUUUACCCCAAAGUCCGCGAAAAAUCUGUCAAAAAUUUCAGACGAGUCCGCAGGAA